rnacentral:rRNA from 1 species
UACGGAGGUGGCAAGCGUUGUUCGGAAUUACUGGGCGUAAAGGGCGCGUAGGCGGCAAGGCAAGUCAGGUGUGAAAGCCCCGAGCUUAACUCGGGAAUUGCAUCUGAAACUGCUGUGCUUGAGUUCUGGAGGGGGUAGUGGAAUUCCCAGUGUAGCGGUGAAAUGCGUAGAUAUUGGGGAGGAACACCUGCGGCGAAGGCGGCUACCUGGACAGAAACUGACGCUG